rnacentral:rRNA from 1 species
UUUAUGGAGAGUUUGAUCCUGGCUCAGGAUGAACGCUGGCGGCGUGCCUAAUACAUGCAAGUCGAGCGAACGGACGAGAAGCUUGCUUCUCUGAUGUUAGCGGCGGACGGGUGAGUAACACGUGGAUAACCUACCUAUAAGACUGGGAUAACUUCGGGAAACCGGAGCUAAUACCGGAUAAUAUUUUGAACCGCAUGGUUCAAAAGUGAAAGACGGUCUUGCUGUCACUUAUAGAUGGAUCCGCGCUGCAUUAGCUAGUUGGUAAGGUAACGGCUUACCAAGGCAACGAUGCAUAGCCGACCUGAGAGGGUGAUCGGCCACACUGGAACUGAGACACGGUCCAGACUCCUACGGGAGGCAGCAGUAGGGAAUCUUCCGCAAUGGGCGAAAGCCUGACGGAGCAACGCCGCGUGAGUGAUGAAGGUCUUCGGAUCGUAAAACUCUGUUAUUAGGGAAGAACAUAUGUGUAAGUAACUGUGCACAUCUUGACGGUACCUAAUCAGAAAGCCACGGCUAACUACGUGCCAGCAGCCGCGGUAAUACGUAGGUGGCAAGCGUUAUCCGGAAUUAUUGGGCGUAAAGCGCGCGUAGGCGGUUUUUUAAGUCUGAUGUGAAAGCCCACGGCUCAACCGUGGAGGGUCAUUGGAAACUGGAAAACUUGAGUGCAGAAGAGGAAAGUGGAAUUCCAUGUGUAGCGGUGAAAUGCGCAGAGAUAUGGAGGAACACCAGUGGCGAAGGCGACUUUCUGGUCUGUAACUGACGCUGAUGUGCGAAAGCGUGGGGAUCAAACAGGAUUAGAUACCCUGGUAGUCCACGCCGUAAACGAUGAGUGCUAAGUGUUAGGGGGUUUCCGCCCUUAGUGCUGCAGCUAACGCAUUAAGCACUCCGCCUGGGGAGUACGACCGCAAGGUUGAAACUCAAAGGAAUUGACGGGGACCCGCACAAGCGGUGGAGCAUGUGGUUUAAUUCGAAGCAACGCGAAGAACCUUACCAAAUCUUGACAUCCUUUGACAACUCUAGAGAUAGAGCCUUCCCCUUCGGGGGACAAAGUGACAGGUGGUGCAUGGUUGUCGUCAGCUCGUGUCGUGAGAUGUUGGGUUAAGUCCCGCAACGAGCGCAACCCUUAAGCUUAGUUGCCAUCAUUAAGUUGGGCACUCUAAGUUGACUGCCGGUGACAAACCGGAGGAAGGUGGGGAUGACGUCAAAUCAUCAUGCCCCUUAUGAUUUGGGCUACACACGUGCUACAAUGGACAAUACAAAGGGCAGCGAAACCGCGAGGUCAAGCAAAUCCCAUAAAGUUGUUCUCAGUUCGGAUUGUAGUCUGCAACUCGACUACAUGAAGCUGGAAUCGCUAGUAAUCGUAGAUCAGCAUGCUACGGUGAAUACGUUCCCGGGUCUUGUACACACCGCCCGUCACACCACGAGAGUUUGUAACACCCGAAGCCGGUGGAGUAACCUUUUAGGAGCUAGCCGUCGAAGGUGGGACAAAUGAUUGGGGUGAAGUCGUAACAAGGUAGCCGUAUCGGAAGGUGCGGCUGGAUCACCUCCUUUCU